CGACGCUUGCGACCGGAGUCAGGGCCCCCGUCGACGCCGGCACCUGCCCCAGACAAGUAACGCUUCAGAUACUCGGCCUUGGAGAGCGGCGGAGCUGCCGCCAUGGCAGCGGUGAGGGCGGGGAGACGGCUCGGCGCUGGGGACAAAAUUCUUGAACGCGAAACGCACGGCGGGGACCCGGAGAGGCGGGGCCCCGGAGAGGCGGGGCCGGGACCGGAAGUGGCAAAGAGCGGUGGGAACUGCCCCGGGCCGACAGGAGCGCGCUUUUGCAGGCUCACGAGGAGUGCGCAUGAGAAAACCAAAGCUUGGAGAGGUUAAGGAAGUCGCCCAACUUCACACAGCCAAAACGGGACCCUUGGAGGCAGAAGCUAGCAAAGUGAAGUUCAAGAGCUCUCAGAACACCAGCAGCCAAGUCCUCCUCCUCACGCCAGGAAACAGAACACCCGCUGAUGGGAAUCUGAGCAGCCCAAGAGGAAAAACCU